CCUACGGGGUGCAGCAGUGAGGAAUAUUGGUCAAUGGGCGCGAGCCUGAACCAGCCAAGUAGCGUGAAGGGUGACUGCCCUACGGGUUGUAAACUUCUUUUAUAAAGGAAUAAAGUGAGGCACGUGUGCCUUUCUGUAUGUACUUUAUGAAUAAGGAUCGGCUAACUCCGUGCCAGCAGCCGCGGUAAUACGGAGGAUCCGAGCGUUAUCCGGAUUUAUUGGGUUUAAAGGGAGCGUAGUUGGGUUGUUAAGUCAGUUGUGAAAGUUUGCGGCUCAACCGUAAAAUUGCAAUUGAUAAUGGCAGUCUUGAGUACAGGUGAGGUAGGCGGAAUUCGUGGUGUAGCGGUGAAAUGCUUAGAUAUCACGAAGAACUCCGAUUGCGAAGGCAGCUUACUAGACUGCCACUGACGUUGAUGCUCGAAAGUGUGGGUAUCAAACAGGAUUAGAUACCCGAGUAGUC
rnacentral:rRNA from 1 species